CAAAAAUGAUAUAUAGAGACACUUUUAAAUAUCGGUACAUGUUAAAAAAAAAUAUUGCCGGCUAAAUUAUAUUGACACUUUUUAAAAAUAUUGCUAUAUGUGGAGUCGCUACAUGCGAGGCCGCUUCGAUGUUUGACACCUACUCCUCCAGCGACCUGUGGCGGAGGGACACGUGGUCAUCGUAGCCCUCUACGGUCCCUUCGAAAUCCUCGCGGCCGAACUCCAGCAGCCAGAAUCCUAUCCCGUCGGCUGAGCCGGCGGCGAAGGAGAAGGAGAGAUAGUGAUCAAAAUUUUUUUUUUUUCCCUUUUCUAUUUGUAAUCGGGCCGAAUUGACUGGGUGGGGUUGGUUAACUAGAGAAACUUUUUAUUUUUGGCUAAAUUGGACUUUAUAUUCAGCUCUUAGUUGAUUUUUUUAAAAGAUUUUGGUAUAAAUAAGAUACUUAUACAAAAAUAUCCCAAAAUGUAUUACUAUAACUCAAUUCUAUUGUAGUGCCGCAACAAGUAAUAUCAAAUUUUUU
rnacentral:lncRNA from 1 species